rnacentral:tRNA from 1 species
GAAAUUAUAGUUUAGUUAGGUUAAAACACCGCGCUGUCAUUGCGGUGAUCGCGGGUUCGAUUCCCGUUAAUUUCG